UAUUUACUUGAUACUUCUAUCUGUCAACUAUAGCUGCCGACGGAUACUUUCGUUUGAAGACAACUUUGUUCAAUUAAAAGUUAAAAAAGAAAGGAAGAGAGUGUACAAUUUCGAAUCUCCUACCUCGUUUGAUCUGUGGAGUCGAUCAGGUGUGAGUAUGGUUUGGCGAUGAAUCGGUUUUAACAAUUAAAUUUUGUUUCGCGAUUAGUUAUACGAUGUUUCGGAUUUUCGAACUUAAUUAACAAUUUUAUUAAACGGAAUUACAAUAUGUACUAGAUUGUUUCUUUGACGCAGACGGAUCGACUCGUGAGUGAACAAAAGAAUAAAUGAAUCACCGAAUCUCAAGUGGUCGUAUUUUGCUGAUGCUGCGUCUGCGUUCUUUCCAUGACCUUCGUUACUGAUACCAGUGGUAUGUGCCGGUCGCGUGGCUGCUUGGCCUUGCUGAGGUUGCAUUUUGUGUGUCCGGUGAUCGCCCUGCUGAUGUCGGUGAAUCGUACGAGGUGCUUGCCGAGUCUUUGCACGUGUUGUAUGCUCUAUUUCUUAUGUUCCCCAAGGUUAUUGUGAGUUCAAGGACAAGUUUUAAUACGUCAUUCUAUAAGAGGUGGUGCGUGGUGGUAGUUUCUAUUUGUUGAUUUGCUUGCCGAGUUUUAGGUUAGUUUUCCUUUUUAUAAAAUGUUUGUUCGUAGCAAUAAGUAAUUUUGAUAUUGCUUGAUGUUUGUAUGAUCUGUAGUGCUAAUUUGUUUGUUGUAUUUUCAUAUUUCUUUUAUGAAUACAGGUUAUAUUGAAUCAUGGAUACUGACAUGUCUGGAGCUGUAGAG